AGAUCACAAGGACCUUUAAAAUAAAUUUCCAAAAAUCAGUAGUAGAUUCGGUAGACAUCGCAUAGCUAUUGCACUGUGCAGUUUUGAAUAAGGUGCACCAUCAUACAACUACUGGACGAUAAAAGGCUUCUUAAAAAUAUAACUACAUAUUGGACGGUCGUGCCAAAUCUGGGCGAUCUCAAAGCUGUUGACCAGCCCCUGG